UGUGGCUGAAAAAAGCAGUUCCCUUUAGAGGACAAUAAAGAACAUUGCUACGGCAGUGCAGAGAAAGGGAGUGAUAGUCACCAUGGUUGACAAUAUGGCUAACAAUAAAUUUUUGGUUGAAAAUAGUUGGUGGAGCCUGGAGCGGGUCAACAGCGUUUUUUGGGGCAAUUUUCCUAAAUGGUGUAAAAAGGAAAAAGAAUUUCAAACGGUGUAUUAUUGACUUUUCAAAUACCCUAGGUUGCAUGGA